rnacentral:rRNA from 1 species
GAUGAACGCUAGCGGCAGGCUUAACACAUGCAAGUCGAGGGGUAACAUUGUAGCUUGCUACAGAUGACGACCGGCGCACGGGUGCGUAACGCGUAUACAAUCUACCUUGUACUGAGGGAUAGCCUUUGGAAACGAAGAUUAAUACCUCAUAGUAUUGCAGUAUCGCAUGAUACAGUAAUUAAAGGUUACGGUAUAAGAUGAGUAUGCGUCCUAUUAGCUAGAUGGUGUGGUAACGGCACACCAUGGCGACGAUAGGUAGGGGCCCUGAGAGGGGGAUCCCCCACACUGGUACUGAGACACGGACCAG